CUCCUCUCAGGGUCGUACCUGGAGAGUUUCCAGUCCUCUACCGGUCUCGACUGUGGGAGGGAGAGUCAAGCAGAGGCCAACCCAUUCCAUUCCGAGCCCGGCUCAUGGCUAGCGAGUGGAAGGCAAUCUGUUACAAGU